rnacentral:rRNA from 1 species
UUGUCCGUACUGAUGUGAUGGGUUCUUACCUUCUGAAUAACCAGCAUGUCAUUAAUUUGGUGUGUUGGGGAAGCAGGACUAUUACCUUGAAAAAAUUAGAGUGCUCAAAGCAGGCUAGUGCCUGAAUACAUUAGCAUGGAAUAAUAAAAUAGGACGGCAUGGUUCUAUUUUGUUGGUUUCUAGGAUCACCGUAAUGAUUAAUAGGGAUAGUUGGGGGCAUUAGUAUUCAAUUGUCAGAGGUGAAAUUCUUGGAUUUAUUGAAGACGAACUUCUGCGAAAGCAUUUGCCAAGGAUGUUUUCAUUAAUCAAGAACGAAAGUUAGGGGAUCGAAGACGAUCAGAUACCGUCGUAGUCUUAACCAUAAACUAUGCCGACUAGGGAUCGGACGAUGUUAAUUUUUCAAUGAC